GAUGAACGCUGGCGGCGUGCCUAAUACAUGCAAGUCGAGCGAACAGACGAGGAGCUUGCUCCUCUGACGUUAGCGGCGGACGGGUGAGUAACACGUGGAUAACCUACCUAUAAUACUGGGAUAACUUCGGGAAACCGGAGCUAAUACCGGAUAACAUGUUGAACCGCAUGGUUCAACAGUGAAAGACGGUUUUGCUGUCACUUAUAGAUGGAUCCGCGUGGCAUUAGCGAGUUGGUAAGGUAAAGGCUUACCAAGGCAACGAUGCGUAGCCGACCUGUGAGGGUGGUCGGCCACCCUGGAACUGAACCACGCUCCAGGCUCCUAAGGGAGGCACCAGUAGGCAACCUUCCGCAGUGGGCGAAAGCCUGACGGAGCAAGCCCGCGUGAGUGAAGACGGUCUUCGGAUCGUAAAAAUCUGUUAUUAGGGAAGAACCAAUGUGUAAGUAAAUAUGCCCGUCUUGACGGUAACUAAUAAGAAAGCCACGGCUAACUACGUG
rnacentral:rRNA from 1 species